rnacentral:rRNA from 1 species
CACUAUGCUUAGCCCUAAACAUUGAUCGUUUACCACAUCAAACAUCCGCCUGGGAAUUACGAACACUAGUUUAAAACCCAAAGGACUUGGCGGUGCUUAACAUCCACCUAGAGGAGCCUGUUCUAGAACCGAUAACCCCCGUUAAACCUCACCCUCCCUGGUUUUAUCCCGCCUAUAUACCACCGUCGCCAGCUUACCCUGUGAAGGUCUAAUAGUAAGCACAAUUGGCAUAGCCCAAAACGUCAGGUCGAGGUGUAGUGCAUGAGAGGGGAAGAAAUGGGCUACAUUCGCUGUCAUCAGCGAACACGAAUGAUGCAUUGAAACAUGCAGCUGAAGGAGGAUUUAGCAGUAAGCAGGAAACAGAGUGUUCUGCUGAAACCGGCUCUUAAGCGCGCACACACCGCCCGUCACCCUCCCCAAGCACCUGGACCUAAAUUUUCUUUAAACCUAAACAAACGCGAAGGAGAGGAAAGUCGUAA